AGAGAGAGACAUGCGCGCAUAUCAAUAAGCGGAGGAAAAGAAACUAACUAGGAUUCCCCUAGUAACGGCGAGUGAAGCGGGAAGAGCUCAAAUUUGAAAUCUUAAAGGGUUUCCCUUUACGAAUUGUAGUUUAAAGAAGUGUUUUCUGUUGAGGUUUUGGUAAAAGUUCUUUGGAAUAGGACAUCAUAGAGGGUGAGAAUCCCGUAUUUGACCUUUACUUUCAACUUUGUGAUACACUUUCAAAGAGUCGGAUUGUUUGGGAAUGCAGUCCAAAAUGGGUGGUAAAUUUCAUCUAAAGCUAAAUAUUGGCGAGAGACCGAUAGCGAACAAGUACCGUGAGGGAAAGAUGAAAGGAACUUUGAAAAGAGAGUUAAACAGUACGUGAAAUUGUCAAAAGGGAAGCGUUUGACACCAGUGUUGUUUUUCUGAAAAUCAAUUAAAGAACUGUUUAUGCUAAGUUGUUUAGACUUUAUCAGCUAACUGUUUAGUUUUGAGCUUUUCUUUAAUGCACUUUUCAGUUAACAAGUCAACAUCAAUUUCUUUUGCUGUAAAAAAGCUUGAGGAAGGUGGCUUGAGAUUCGUCUUAAGUGUUUAUAGCCUCUUGCCUAUGCAGUCGGAGAGAUUGAGGUCUGCAGCGUAGAUCCUUCGGGGCUAAAUGCAUUUGUGCUAAGUUAUAGCAUUUUAUAGACAACUUGUUGACUAUGAUUUGUCUUGUAGCUUACUCGCUUAUGUUAUUUUACCUACGCUUAGGAUGUUGAGCGCAUGUCUCUCUCU
rnacentral:rRNA from 1 species